UACGGAGGGUGCGAGCGUUGUCCGGAAUCACUGGGCGUAAAGGGCGCGUAGGUGGCGGGUCAAGCGUGCGGUGAAAGCUUGGGGCUCAACCCCGAGUCGGCCGUGCGAACUGGCUUGCUUGAGCACUGUAGAGGCAGAUGGAAUUCCGGGUGUAGUGGUGAAAUGCGUAGAGAUCCGGAGGAACACCAGUGGCGAAGGCGACACGCUGGGCCGUACCUGACACUGAACCGCGACAGCAUGGGGAGCAACAGG
rnacentral:rRNA from 1 species